GAGCUGUGAAGAAAUAUUUAAAGGAAUCUGAGAUUCUUCUGAAGUUGUAAGAUCCAACUCUGAGCUCAUUCUUUCU
rfam:Colinus virginianus strain Texas jcf7180006226227, whole genome shotgun sequence.